UACAGAGGGUGCGAGCGUUAAUCGGAAUUACUGGGCGUAAAGCGUGCGUAGGCGGCUUUCUAAGUCGGAUGUGAAAUCACCGAGCUUAACUUGGGAAUUGCAUUCGAUACUGGGAAGCUAGAGUAUGGGAGAGGAGGGUAGAAUUCCAUGUGUAGCUGUGAAAUGCGUAGAGAUCUGGAGGAAUACCGAUGGCGAAGGCAGCCAAUUGGCCUAAUACUGACGCUGAGGUACGAAAGCAUGGGGAGCAAACAGG
rnacentral:misc_RNA from 1 species